GCACCAUCUUCAGUGGUGACAGACGCUGCAAACCCUGCCUAGGAAACUAAUGGAGAGUCCCUAAGAAAUCCAAACUCCAGCUUGGCUCACCCCAACCUUCUCCCCCACCUUCAGACCCCCAGGCUUUCAGCCUGAAGCAGAACCAAGCUGGGGGAGGAGGAGUUUUACUGUAAGUCAAGCCCAGAGUUAUAAUUGUUAUACAGAAUUGGACAAUCUAAUUUCUGAAUCAAGAUUGUUUUUCAUCCAGGCUCAGGGAAACUUUACUCCUGCUAAAUAAAGCCUAAUGGAACAGUGGGAAGAAAAAAUAAAGUUGUAUUUUGAUUACAUUAUAUCUGCUUGAGUAACAUUGUAAUUUCAAAUGCAGUGCUAGGUUUGUAGGAAAUGAGAGAAAUAUCCAACGGUGUUAAAAAAAAGAGAGAGAGAGAGAGAGAAUACUUUGUUGAAAUCUGAAAAGGAGAUGCAGUGAGCAGUAAGCAAAUGCAAUCAGGACACUAAGCUUUGGGCUCAACCCAAGGCCAGUGAAUGGAACCUGGAAGGAAAUAAGGCAGCUGAGGUCUGGCGCCC
rnacentral:lncRNA from 10 species